rnacentral:rRNA from 1 species
GUUCCUACGGGAGGCAGCAGUGGGGAAUUUUGCGCAAUGGGGGGAACCCUGACGCAGCAACGCCGCGUGCGGGACGAAGGCCCUCGGGUUGUAAACCGCUUUCAGCAGGGAAGAUCCAAGACGGUACCUGCAGAAGAAGCUCCGGCUAACUACGUGCCAGCAGCCGCGGUAAUACGUAGGGGGCGAGCGUUAUCCGGAUUCAUUGGGCGUAAAGCGCGCGUAGGCGGCCGCCUAAGCGGGACCUCUAACCCCGGGGCUCAACCCCGGGCCGGGUCCCGGACUGGGCGGCUCGAGUGCGGUAGAGG